UGGGGAAUAUUGCACAAUGGGCGCAAGCCUGAUGCAGCGACGCCGCGUGCGGGAUGGAGGCCUUCGGGUUGUAAACCGCUUUUGUUCAAGGGCAAGGCAGGG
rnacentral:rRNA from 1 species